rnacentral:tRNA from 1 species
AGGGUAAUAGUUAAAUAUAACAUUUGAUUUGCAUUCAAAAAGUGUUGAUUAAUCAACUUACCUU